rnacentral:ncRNA from 1 species
UAGUAAUGACGAACAAUGAGAAGUCAGCCGAACCCAUAGUAGCGUUGAAACUUCUGUAAUAGAAGUGGAACGAAGGG